GCUCUCUUUUCAGACUCAGCCUGCCUGCACCCAGGUGAAAUAAACAGCCUUGUUGCUCACACAAAGCCUGUUUGGUGGUCUCUUCACACGGACACGAGUGAAAUUUGGUGCCGUGACUCGAAUCGGGGGACCUCCCUUAGGAGAUCAAUCCCCUGUCCUCCUGCUCUUUGCUCCGUGAGAAAGAUCCACCUACGACCUCAGGUCCUCAGACCGACCAGCCCAAGAAACAUCUCACCAAUUUCAAAUCCAGAAUUGGGCGAGUGAGCCUGGGCAUGUGCAUUAAGAGACAAAAUGGCAGAGCAUGACCUUCCGGGGGCAUUCCACUGGCAAAGGGAAGAAAGCUUCAGGUGGGCAUGCAUACAACACUGCACAUGCUCACCUCCCAAGGGUAAGGAGGCCACUGUGUGUGCAGGCAGCUCAUCCUUAAAGAAGAAUGAAGGGAAAGGGGCUCAAGAUGCCGGAAGUGGGCCAGCAUAUAAAGUCUUAGGAUCAACUUAGGGUCAAGGUGAAAUGGGGCACUUGUCCUUCAAGUCACCCGGUUGGGUCCCUUCCAAGUGCACUUUCCUUUCUUUCCUGCUCUAAAGCUUUUUAAUAAACUUCCACCCUUACUCUCAAA
rnacentral:lncRNA from 1 species